ensembl:misc_RNA 7SK 7SK RNA
GGAUGUGAGGGCGAUCUAGCUGCGACUUCUGUCAUCGCCAGGAUUGAUUCGGCUGAUCUGGCUGGCUAGGCGGUGUCCCCUUCCUCCCUCACCGCUCCAUGUGUGUCCCUCCCAAAGCUGCAUGCUUGGUCAAAGAGGAAGGUCUUCCCCAAUAGAGAUGGACCAGUCUUAGGUUAAGGGUAUACUAGUGGCUGCGCUCCCCUGCUAGAAACUCCAAACAAGCUCUCAAGAUUCCACAAAAGUAGCACAGUAUAUAUACUUUCCUUGAGAGAAUGUCGGUGUUUUUUUGUUUGUUUGUUUGUUUUUUAAACCAGGGCACUGCUCAGCUCUGGCUUAUGUU